GAUUUGGUGUUUGUGAAGUAUAAUAGGGCAUUAAAGCGCCGACAUGAUGCACGUGACUACAUUGAUCCUAUCUCAUUGAAAGACAUAGAUGAUAAUAAUGAAUGGUUGAUGGGUAAAAUGAAGGAAGAGUUAGAUAGAGAUGAGCUUGUUUUUAAAGAUGACACCUUGACAUUGAAUAUGGUUACUGCUAUUGGAGUUGAAGAGAAUGCCUACAACACUAAAUCAGGGAAAGAAAAAAAUGUUGAAUCAGCAUCUAUUUCAAGAUCUAUGCCAAAGGAAAAAGAAAGAGCAUCAUCCACUAACUUGAGAACUAAUACUCCUUUACUUUUUAAAGAUGAGGAAGAUGAUGAAAAUAUUGAUUUUGAAGAUGAGUAUCAAGAGGAUGAAGCUAUAGAAGAAGAUGAAGAAAA
rnacentral:misc_RNA from 1 species